CCUACGGGAGGCCGCAGUGGGGAAUAUUGCGCAAUGGGCGAAAGCCUGACGCAGCGACGCCGCGUGAGGGAUGAAGGUCUUCGGAUCGUAAACCUCUGUCAGCAGGGAAGAACGGUCACUGUGCUAAUCAGCAGUGAAUUGACGGUACCUGCAAAGGAAGCACCGGCUAACUCCGUGCAAGCAGCCGCGGUAAUAGGGAGGGUGCGAGCGUUAAUCGGAAUUACUGGGCGUAAAGCGCUCGUAGGAGGUAUGGUAAGUCAAGGGUGAAAGCCCCGCGCUCAACGUGGGAACUGACUUUGAAACUGGCAAACUGGAGUGUGUGAGAGGAUAGUGGAAUUCCAGGUGUAGGAGUGAAAUCCGUAGAUAUCUGGAGGAACAUCAGUGGCGAAGGCGACUAUCUGGCACAUAACUGACGCUGAGGAGCGAAAGCGUGGGUAGCAAACAGGAUUAGAUACCCCUGUAGUC
rnacentral:rRNA from 1 species